AACGCUGCGGCAGGCUUAAUACAUGCAAAGUCGAACGGUAACAUGUCGGAAGCAAUCUGAUGAUGACGAGUGGCGCACGGGUGCGUAACGCGUAUGCAACCUACCCAUAACCGGAACAUAACGUUGAGAAAUCGGCGCUAAUAUUCCAUGUGUAUAUUUUGUGGCAUCAUAGAAUAUAUAAAGAUUAAUUGGUUAUGGAUGGGCAUGCGUAUCAUUAGCUAGUUGGUGGGGUAACGGCCUACCAAGGCUGCGAUGAUUAGGGGUUCUGAGAGGAUAACCCCCCACACUGGAACUGAGACACGGUCCAGACUCCUACGGGAGGCAGCAGUAGGGAAUAUUGGGCAAUGGAGGCAACUCUGACCCAGCCAUGCCGCGUGAAGGAAGACGGUCCUAUGGAUUGUAAACUUCUUUUAUCAUAGAGUAACCGCAGGGACGUGUCCCUGCCUGCAAGUAUAUGAUGAAUAAGCAUCGGCUAACUCCGUG
rnacentral:rRNA from 1 species